rnacentral:rRNA from 1 species
AACGCGUGGGAAUCUACCCAUCUCUACGGAAUAACUCAGGGAAACUUGUGCUAAUACCGUAUACGCCCUUCGGGGGAAAGAUUUAUCGGAGAUGGAUGAGCCCGCGUUGGAUUAGCUAGUUGGUGGGGUAAAGGCCUACCAAGGCGACGAUCCAUAGCUGGUCUGAGAGGAUGAUCAGCCACAUUGGGACUGAGACACGGCCCAAACUCCUACGGGAGGCAGCAGUGGGGAAUAUUGGACAAUGGGCGCAAGCCUGAUCCAGCCAUGCCGCGUGAGUGAUGAAGGCCCUAGGGUUGUAAAGCUCUUUCACCGGUGAAGAUAAUGACGGUAACCGGAGAAGAAGCCCCGGCUAACUUCGUGCCAGCAGCCGCGGUAAUACGAAGGGGGCUAGCGUUGUUCGGAAUUACUGGGCGUAAAGCGCACGUAGGCGGGUAUUUAAGUCAGGGGUGAAAUCCCAGAGCUCAACUCUGGAACUGCCUUUGAUACUGGGUACCUAGAGUAUGGAAGAGGUGAGUGGAAUUCCGAGUGUAGAGGUGAAAUUCGUAGAUAUUCGGAGG